rnacentral:rRNA from 1 species
ACGGCUCAGUAACACGUCGGUAACCUACCCUCGGGAGGGGGAUAACCCCGGGAAACUGGGGCUAAUUCCCCAUAGGCCUGAGGUACUGGAAGGUCCUCAGGCCGAAAGGGACUUAUGUCCGCCCGAGGAUGGGCCGGCGGCCGAUUAGGUAGUUGGUGGGGUAAUGGCCCACCAAGCCGAAGAUCGGUACGGGCUGUGAGAGCAGGAGCCCGGAGAUGGACACUGAGACACGGGUCCAGGCCCUACGGGGCGCAGCAGGCGCGAAACCUCCGCAAUGCGGGAAACCGCGACGGGGGGACCCCGAGUGCCGUGGCAACGCCACGGCUUUUCCGGAGUGUAAAAAGCUCCGGGAAUAAGGGCUGGGCAAGGCCGGUGGCAGCCGCCGCGGUAACACCGGCAGCUCAAGUGGUAGCCGCUUUUAUUGGGCCUAAAGCGUCCGUAGCCGGGCCCGUAAGUCCCUGGCGAAAUCCCACGGCUCAACCGUGGGGCUUGCUGGGGAUACUGCGGGUCUUGGGACCGGGAGAGGCGGGGGGUACCCCUGGGGUAGGGGUGAAAUCCUAUAAUCCCAGGGGGACCGCCAGUGGCGAAGGCGCCCCGCUGGAACGGGUCCGACGGUGAGGGACGAAGGCCAGGGGAGCAAACCGGAUUAGAUACCCGGGUAGUCCUGGCUGUAAAGGAUGCGGGCUAGGUGUCGGGUGAGCCUCGAGCUCGCCCGGUGCCGUAGGGAAGCCGUUAAGCCCGCCGCCUGGGGAGUACGGCCGCAAGGCUGAAACUUAAAGGAAUUGGCGGGGGAG